rnacentral:rRNA from 1 species
GACGAACGCUGGCGGCGUGCCUAACACAUGCAAGUCGAACGGACAGGCCCUGCUUUUGUGGGGUGCUCGAGUGGCGAACGGGUGAGUAACACGUGAGUAACCUGCCCUUCACUUUGGGAUAUCUUCAGGAAACUGGGGCUAAUACCGGAUAGGAGCUCCUGCUGCAUGGUGGGGGUUGGAAAGUUUCGGCGGUUGGGGAUGGACUCGCGGCUGCUCAGCUUGUUGGUGGGGUAGUGGAAUACCAAGGCUUUGACGGGUUGCCGGCCUGAGAGGGGAACCGGACCAAUUGGAAUUGGACUGAGGCCCAGCCUACACCCGGACGGAAGGGAGGGGAGGGUUGCACAGCGGGAGGAGGGAUAGCGCGACGAAGCCGCGUGCGGGAAGACGGCCUUCUGUUAGUAAAGCACUUUCCUCUGUGCCGAGGCGUGAGUGACGGUAAUGGGUGAAGAAGCCCCGGCUAACUACGUG